GCCGGGCGUGGUGGCGUGUGCCUGUCAUCCCAGCUACUCGGGGGGCUGAGGCUGGAGGAUCUUUUGCGCCCAGGAGGUCUGGGCUGUAGUGCGCUAUGCCAAUCGGGUGUCCGCACUAAGUUUGGCAUCAAUAUGGUGACCUCCCGGGAGCAGGGGACCACCAGUUUGCCUAAGGAGGGGUGACUAGCCCAGGUUGGAAACGGAGCAGGUCAAAACACCUGUGCUGAUCAGUAGUGGGAUCGCGCCUGUGAAUAUCCACUGCACUCCAGCCUGGGCAAUAUAGCGAGACCCUGUCUCA
rnacentral:SRP_RNA from 1 species